CUGGCAUCAGCACUGCUGAGCCUCUUCACUGGCCUGUCAAGGGUCAUCAGCUGUACAAUGAGCCCAUGAAAAGAACCAAGGGGAUACGCCUAUUGAGUCAGCAAGACAUGCAGGGGUAUGCCUGUGUACUGAGACCUCCAGGGCUUUUCCAUGCCAUGUGCUGUGAAGCUUGUGUUUGGGACACAGGAAGUACAAGCCACAAGGCAAAGGGAAUAGAAAGGGCAGCUGCAUCAUCUUCAUUUUCUCUUCAAUCCCUCUUCCUACCUCUGGAGCAACUUCUCUGCAAACUGAAGCCUUGAACAAAGGACUGAAUGACCCAUCCAAGCUGUGGAUGUGUUGCAGACGGACUUUCAAGCCAGGAACUCACCAAAACUGUGAAGAACCCGAUAUAUAGAUUUCUGAAUGUAUCUGACCUUUCCUUCUUUCCUUUAGUUUAGAGGCUAAAGGAUUGGCUGGCAGCCUGGUAUUUUGGGGUUUCCCAUUUCCAAACCUGAUGUGUUUUCCCAGCUGGAACAAGGGGAAGAGCCAUGGGUCUCAGAGCUCCAGGGUUCAGAGGAAAGACAGACCCUGAGAGCUCCCUGCAAAGCAGGUGAUGCGAUGGCAUGUGAGAAAGAGGAGCAGAAUUCUCAGCAGGAAGAUGCUGGGCAAGUGGAUAAACACAGAGCAUUAUCACAGAGAUCGGAAAGGAACGUGUCCAGGAGUCAUGAGAGGCCCUAUGAAUGCCGUGAGUGUGAGAACCUUCAAUCGCAGCUCAAACCUUGUUACUCAUCAGAGAACCACACAGGGGAGAGGCCCUAUGAAUGCUGUGAGUGUGGGAAAACCUUCUCUUGGCACUCAGCCCAUGUUAGCCAUCCAAGAAUCUGCACAGGAGAUCAACACCAUAAAAACCUCUAGGGCUAUCCGUACUUUUUUUUCUUUAAUACUUUUCCUGAUUCCCACAUAGUAACUUUUAAAGUUGUUUGAACUGUUUGCAGCACCGUUAUCCCUCAGCGUGUCCAAAUGAGUGGCCCAUUUUUGCCUUUUGCAGUUCACCCUGUUUUGAGGUGGACCCAUUUGUCCUUCCUAUCGACUCCAUUGUCUCAUGAAUAAUUUGAGUGUGCCCUUCCUAUCAGGAACCAGGGAGCAUCACAUCUAUACCAUUCCUCCUAUUGCAAAAUUAUUGUUCGGAAUCACCAAUG